rnacentral:lncRNA from 1 species
GGCAGAAAGAUUGAUGAAUGGAAAGGGAGAAAGUGAGAAUGUUCAAACUGAGAAAAACAGUGUGGAAUAUGAUUUGAUAUUGAAGGGAAACAACAAAGGGGAGAGCCAGGAAGCAGGAAAAACACAGAGGGAGAGAAAGUUGGAAAUAAUUUUUACUUAGUUGAAGACUUUUUUAUUUUUUUACAUGAGGUUCAUAGUAUAUUUUAGCGCUGUCAGUAACUCAGGGAAACAGAAAAUAAUUUAAUCGAAGUCUUUGUUCUCAGCGGGGGUCACACCACAUGGUAAUAAAUGAGAAUUUGGUGGGCUGUGGAUAUCCAAUAGGAAAAUUCACCACAAAUUUUAUACCUAACAGGCUUUGAGUAAUUCCCUUAGAUAAAUCAGGCCAGCUGCUCCUGCCAGCCUUCCUUCUCAUCCCAAGCCUAAUAACUUCUUGCAAAUUUAAAUCUAAAUUGAAGAAUGGUGCCAAAACAUAUUAUGAAAAAUAUGGCAAAAGAAUUUCACCUCUACUAAAUAAAGACUACACCUCAACCCAGUCUACAAAUUAAACACGCAUGUGGGAAGAUGGAAGAGGUUGAGGUAGACAGGUAUUUCUCAAGUUUGUUUCCAACACAUUUUCAAGUCUGUUUUUUUUUAAAUAAUGUGUAACAAAUAUAAUUGUACAGUUAUUUCAGUUAUACAAUGCAGUAACCUCAACUGCCUUCUUCUAGAGUAUUUUGAGUUCUUCUAAAAUAAAAUCCCAUGUAAUGUAGAGAAAGAGAGGAAAUAAUCUAGAGAGAUGUUAGUGACUUCAAAUGGAUUCAAUUCUGAUGUCUGUACAAGUUGCCUUAUCUACAGUACACUUUGGCCUGGGUUUAUUAGCUUCUAUUCCCUUAAGUCUUCAGGCUUACAGCUGCUCUACAUUAACAGGUCAUUGCAGUAGGUGUUUGUUAUUAAAAAAUAUAUUGCGGGACCUGCCUAUUAGCAUGCAGACUCCAACACUGACCUUACUAUUUCUUUUUUUUUGAGACAGAGUCUUGCUCUGUCACCAGGCUGGAGUGCAGUGGCACGAUCUCAGCUCAUUGCAACGUCUGCCUCCCAGGUUCAAGUGAUUCUCCUGCCUCAGCCUCCUGAGUAGCUGGGACUACAGGCAUGCACCACCACACCCAGCUAUUUUUUUUUUUUUUUUUUGUAUUUUUAGUAGAGACGGGAUUUUGCCAUGUUGGCCAGGAUGGUCUCGAUCUCUUGACCUUGUGAUCCGCCCACUUCAGCCUCCCAAAGUGAUGGGAUUACAGCUGUGAGCCACCGUGCCUGGCCCCUUACUGUUUCUUUAUACAUCAUUGUGAUUCCAACAGUUUCUGAGUCUCAAAGAUAUGCUCCCAUGUAGCCUCAUACAACAGCAUAGGGCACUUGCAUGUUCCAAAAAACUUAAAUGCAAUAAAAGCAAAUGGUGCCUACCCUCCCCAUGGGGUCUCUGUAUUUCCCAGGCUCUGAAAUACACUGACUGAGAGAAAUGUGCGAACUUCAUACCUGGUCUGAGAUUUACCCUGAGAUGACUCUUGCCUAGAAAAGAAAAAGAGUUUUCUCUUCAGCAUCUCUGGGAUUAGAACUAUUAGCAAACUUAUAAUUUUCUUUCCUCACUUACUGAGCUCUAGUAUUAUCUUGAUUGCAAAGAAAGCAUCCAGACAACUUCCCAUUUCCUCCUUGCUUCACCCCGUGAACACAACUGCUUCUCUUCAGCAGCCCCAAAUGGAAAUUAUUCAGGUUAAAUCACAGAAUUUGGAAAGAAAAAGGGCAUCCAACAGCCUUAAAGAUGAAGAAAUGGAAGCUCCAGAGUUGAAGAAAUGUGUCUUCACUCCCACAAGUAAUCUUGAAGUUCCGAGCCACCAUGAGAGUUUUCCUGACACUGAGGUAAUUUCCUACCAUGUUGACACCACCUUGCGCCAGUGUUCAAGACCAUCACAGCUAUGAACCUUGUUGGCUUGUAUCAGAUGCCUGCUGGGACCUUGGCUGCCCAUAGUGCUCUCUAAAGACUCCAGCUUUCCAUAACUCCUACAGUUUUAAGUUCAAGGAAUGAUGAAGAGGACGCCAAUGUACGGAUUUGAUUUACCAAAUCAGGCCUGUACAGCAGCUGAAUCAACCUAUGGGAAAAUUUUGGCUCUCUUUAACAUUCUAAUUUUUGAGAACACCAUUGCAAAUACAUGAUUUCCAAAAUAAUAACAAUGCACUUAAUUAAUCACAUUAUAGAUCAUCAUAUAAAAAUAAAUACCUAAAUAGAAAUACAAUUUAUUUUUUUCUUAAAUUCCAAAUUGCAUAGAGCUGCCUCCUCUGCAGUUUUCCAUCACUGCCUCCUUCUCAGACUUCUCCUUUUGUUUUUUCAUUUCUUUGUACAGACUCCAGUCAUUUGUUUAAAUAUUCAUACUCAACCAGAAUACGUUUCCUAAUGUGGGAAUCAUUGCUUAUUCACAGGCACAGCCCUUGACAUCCUGAAAACAUGUAGUAAUGAUUUUUGGAAUAAAGGUUUGACACUUCUACAUUUACAUGUAAAUGGAGUUAAAAAAUUCUAGGUUGAGAAUAAGAAUACUAUAAAAAUUUUGAUCUAAAAUGGAUGUUAGAGAUAACCCAGCGCAACCAGUUGCUCUUACAAUUGAGGAAACUGAGGUCAAGAAUGAGUGAGUGGCUCAGAGUCACCCAGCUCAUUAGAGCCUGAAUGAACCACCUUGGUUCACUACCUCUGUUCACCGCCCUUUCUAGUGCACUUCAUGAAAUCACUCUCUAAGUACACAUCAACUCAUUUAGAUACUUAAAUGAUUCUUGAGAAAGUAGAAAGUAUAAAUGCCUUGACCACACAUAAGAACUUUGACAUAUUUCACUCUCUGUACUGAAAUUUCUAACAAUGCCUGGUACAUAAUAGGUAUUCAGUUGAUUUGGGUUUCUACAUCCCUUUUCUCCUUCUCUUCUUCAAGUUUGCAUGUAAACCACAUUAAAGACUGCUAAUAUAUAAAGUAGGCACCAUCUCAUGAAUCAAAGAGGGGAUUCCUAGAGCCACUGAGGAUGUCUUUAGAAGCCAGUGGUGCUGAUCCCACAGCUACUCUCCUGUGGACAGUGGAAGUGCUCCCCAAAGUACAUUCUUAGGGGAAAUGGGGCUGCCGCCAUGAGGAGGUGUCAAUAGAGAUUAGAGAUGGUCUUUGUGCUGUGAGAGAGACCUCACAUUUCCAAAUGCCAAGUCCUUUCUUCCUCAGUCAAAUGUACCCCCUAGAACAUAGAUACCUACUAAGCUGUAGAUUUUUGAGGGGAUACAGAGCUGAAUCCAUAAGAUAGUGGAUUAUUCAGAUAAGAAUUUCUGUAGAUAGAGAGUUUCCAAUCAAUUAUGUACCCCAACAAUGUGAGGUCAACUACUUAGACUACCUCUUAGCUUCUACAUUUAGAUGUUUCAAAGUCUGUUCUGAUCCUUAAAUUUGACACUUCUCUUUAAUAUAAACAAAGCCCUUUUAGUAUUCUUUGGGAUUAGCUUACCACUUAAUAAAUUCCUUCCAACACUAUCUUCUGUGAGUCAACAAACAGCUUCCUCCUG